rnacentral:rRNA from 1 species
AGACGGGGACCCGCACAAGCGGUGGAUGAUGUGGAUUAAUUCGAUGCAACGCGAAGAACCUUACCUACCCUUGACAUGUCCGGAACUUACCAGAGAUGGCUUGAUGCCCGAAAGGGAAUCGGAACACAGGUGCUGCAUGGCUGUCGUCAGCUCGUGUCGUGAGAUGUUGGGUUAAGUCCCGCAACGAGCGCAACCCUUAUCAUUAGUUGCUACGCAAGGGCACUCUAAUGAGACUGCCGGUGACAAACCGGAGGAAGGUGGGGAUGACGUCAAGUCCUCAUGGCCCUUAUGGGUAGGGCUUCACACGUCAUACAAUGGUCGGUACAGAGGGUUGCCAAGCCGCGAGGCGGAGCCAAUCCCACAAAGCCGAUCGUAGUCCGGAUCGCAGUCUGCAACUCGACUGCGUGAAGUCGGAAUCGCUAGUAAUCGUGGAUCAGCAUGUCACGGUGAAUACGUUCCCGGGUCUU